rnacentral:ribozyme from 13 species
UUUCCUUCUUUUCUUUUUUCUUUUCUUUUCUUCUUCCUUUCUCUUGUUCUCGCCAUGAGUAGUGGUGUAGACGUCAAAAGAGGAACAAAGAAGAAAGACAGAGAGAUUGUA